AGUUACUGAGAAAAUGAAGUAGAAGAGGGCUCAGGAGAGAAAAGGCAGAGGAUGAAAUAAGUCCAAACUCAGUGCAAAGGGCAGAAGGAGGAAUUACAUGGUAGAGUGAAAGGGUGAAGGGAAGAAAAGGAACCCAAGUUCAAGCCCUCAGAGCUGGCUCUGUGUCUACAGAUUGAAAGAGAACAAGGGCAUCCAAGCAUAGAAAAUGUCCCUCAAUAUAAAAGGCAUCAAACUUUCACACAGGACAUCGAAGCCGCCCAAUGCAAAGCCAAACAGCUGAAAGAGAAGAAAAGAAUAUUCAAGAGUUUUUGCCAAGCAAAAGCACCCAAAAUUCUACAGGAAAUGGGGAAGAAUUAAAUGGAACGUGUAUAGGAUUGAACACAGGUGGAGCUGGGUGUAAGCAAGCCGAUGCUGGAAAACUUCCUACUGUCUGCAAUUCCUGAACAUGGCUUCAUUCCCAGUCUGAAGGCUAGUAUGUGGCUGAGGAGAAAUUACCCACGCUGCUAGUGGAGAGUGAGCCAUGAGCCCUCUGAAGUCUCCAGAACUAGCUCUGUCCCCCAUCCCAUUGGAAUACGUGUGUGGAAGGUCCUCUGCAGGAAAUCGUCUCUAUUCCUGGUGCUAGGAUAUGAAUACCAAGACAAUAAGGAAAAAAGGAAUAGGAAACGGGCAAAACAAGACGAUGUCUUGAUUCCUUUUGGUGAGCUGGGGGAGCCUGUGCCUUUUACCAGCAGCUGAGUGAUUUCUGAGCUUUUGCUCAGAAAUGAUACUCCAACUAAGCCUUUUAGUGCUGUUCCCAAAGUGUGGUCCCUGGAUUCUUGGGGGGAGAUCAAACUUAUUUUCAUAAUAAAACUAAAAUGUUAUUUGCCUA